UACAGAGGGAGCUAGCGUUGUUCGGAAUGAUUGGGCGUAAAGGGUGUGUAGGCGGCCUUGUAAGUAAAAUGUAAAAUCCCAGAGCUUAACUCUGGACUGGCAUUUUAAACGGCAGGGCUAGAGAAUGAAAGAGGAAAGUGGAAUUUCUAGUGUAGGGGUGAAAUCCGUAGAUAUUAGAAGGAACACCGGAGGCGAAGGCGGCUUCCUGGACAGUUACUGACGCUGAGACGCGAAAGCGUGGGGAGCAAACAGG
rnacentral:rRNA from 1 species